ensembl:snRNA U6 U6 spliceosomal RNA
GUACUCGCUUUGGCAGCACAUAUAUUAAAAUUGGAAAGAUACAGAGAAGAUUAGCAUGGCCCCUGCACAAGUGUGACAUGCAAAUUCAUGAAGCAUUCCAUAUUUUA